rnacentral:rRNA from 1 species
UACGAACCGUGCAAACGUUAUUCGGAAUCACUGGGCAUAAAGGGCGCGUAGGCGGCUCCAAAAGUCAGGGGUGAAAUCCGGCAGCUUAACUGUCGCAGUGCCUUUGAUACUGUGGAGCUAGAGGGAGGUAGGGGUCUGUGGAACUUCCGGUGGAGCGGUGAAAUGCGUUGAUAUCGGAAGGAACGCCGGUGGCGAAAGCGACGGACUGGAUCUCUUCUGACGCUGAGGCGCGAAAGCCAGGGGAGCAAACAGG